CACUUACUCAGCCUCUGUAACUUUUAAUUAAAACCCAGUUUUAGGACACCCCAUUGGGUAAUUUUUGAGCAAGAAUAAUUAAUGAGAUGUUCGGUCAAUGAAAAUGUUUCCACAGAGACACUAUAGACAUCAUCACAGAAGGUGUUUUGGGGGUCAAAAACUCAAGGUGGAAGAACCACUCAGCCAGAUCAUCCACAAAGACAGGAGGAGGAGUCUGCAACUCCUGACUGCAUCUAUUUCCUGAUUCUGUUACUGGUGUGAAGAAUCUGAACUGACUCUUCUUAAGUUACUCUAAUGUACCAGCUCUUGGAACCUCACUUCUUCUCCCACCUUGCAUCUGAAGUGAUCCAGUCAUAUCAAACAGGCAAGACACUUUGAUUGCAUAUUGCAGAGACUACAUAGGAUUUGCUGCCCUCCAGAGGAAAUGCUACUCACAUGGAAAACCAGAAAAUGCUGAUUAAAGGUUCCUUUGGUGCAGAUGAGGCCAAGCAGAAGAACGAGUCACAGCUAAAUUCCCAGACUGUUCUACACUAUGAUGUUUUGCCACAACUGCAGACCCACCUGUGAAUCUCCCUCCAAGGCAGCCUGUGCAUACAUCCGCAUGGAGAGCUCAAGGUCUUUAGACUGGUUCUGGUAACCAUAGUAGUAGAAAUCGCCCAUCUUCAAAUAAGCUGUGGAAGAAAUGAGCAGAAGAUCAUUUAGACUAUUUGUAGCAAUAGAAUUAACCAACUAUUAAUGUGAUGGAGAAGUUAAUAGUAAUUCUAUUUAAAGCACAAUAUUAAAAAACAAACACACUCGUCCUC